AUUGAACGCUGGCGGCAGGCUUAACACAUGCAAGUCGAGCGGGGUGAUGGUGCUUGCACUAUCACUUAGCGGCGGACGGGUGAGUAAUGCUUAGGAAUCUGCCUAUUAGUGGGGGACAACAUCUCGAAAGGGAUGCUAAUACCGCAUACGUCCUACGGGAGAAAGCAGGGGAUCACUUGUGACCUUGCGCUAAUAGAUGAGCCUAAGUCGGAUUAGCUAGUUGGUGGGGUAAAGGCCUACCAAGGCGACGAUCGGUAGCGGGUCUGAGAGGAUGAUCCGCCACACUGGGACUGAGACACGGCCCAGACUCCUACGGGAGGCAGCAGUGGGGAAUAUUGGACAAUGGGGGGAACCCUGAUCCAGCCAUGCCGCGUGUGUGGAGAAGGCCUUAUGGUUGUAAAGCACUUUAAGCGAGGAGGAGGCUCUUUUGGUUAAUACCCAAGAUGAGUGGACGUUACUCGCAGAAUAAGCACCGGCUAACUCUGUGCCAGCAGCCGCAGUAA
rnacentral:rRNA from 1 species